UACAGAGGCCUCAAGCGUUGUUCGGAUUCAUUGGGCGUAAAGGGUGCGUAGGCGGGUCUUUAAGUCAGGGGUGAAAUCCUGGAGCUCAACUCCAGAACUGCCUUUGAUACUGAAGAUCUUGAGUUCGGGAGAGGUGAGUGGAACUGCGAGUGUAGAGGUGAAAUUCGUAGAUAUUCGCAAGAACACCAGUGGCGAAGGCGGCUCACUGGCCCGAUACUGACGCUGAGGCACGAAAGCGUGGGGAGCAAACAGG
rnacentral:rRNA from 1 species